CAAAGCCUUCAAUACUGUUGGACUGGUACUAAAUAAUUUGGAGUAUUGCUAAACUGACUGAACUAUUUAAGAAGUGACAAGGAGACACAGGCAAUUGCAUUGAAAAUCACAUGGAGGUCACAGAGAGGUCAGCAAGAUUUUGUGCAACGGCUAGCAAAUUGAGAGAGAACAACUCAACUGAAUUGGAAGAUGAUCUGGGAACAUCUGACCUUAAGGGACGAAAAUUACUGGCGGUGGACUGAAAGGAUCUGCGGAAAUCCCUUCUGGUGGAUGGCAUAGCUUUUUCCUUGUCCCGUGUUUCAACAAGGACUGGUUCAAGUGAGUCCCCGAAUAAUUUGGCCACUGAGAAGGGGAUAGAAGCAAGGUUGAGUUUAGAUUUUGGGUCAACACGCUAAUUCUUCAACCAGAGGCACCUUCUGCCUGCCACUCCUGCCGCGAUGGAUCUGGAAGCAUGAUGGAUGCAGUCGAAACUGGAGUCGACCAUAAAGGCCAGCUCCUUGGCCAUCUUGAUGAUGCCCUGCCUACAUUUCUUGUUCUUACAAGGAAUGAAUUGCAUUAAA